rnacentral:rRNA from 1 species
UACGUAGGGGGCAAGCGUUACCCGGAUUCACUGGGCGUAAAGCGCGUGUAGGCGGCUGGCCACGCGUGGUGUGAAAUCUCCGGGCUCAACCCGGAAACUGCACUGCGAACUGGCCUGGCUGGAGUGCAGGAGAGGGAUGCGGAAUUCACGGUGUAGCGGUGAAAUGCGUAGAUAUCGUGAGGAACACCAGUGGCGAAGGCGGCAUCCUGGCCUGUAACUGACGCUGAGACGCGAAAGCGUGGGGAGCGAACCGG